UACGUAGGGGCCGAGCGUUGUCCGGAGUUAUUGGGCGUAAAGCGCGCGCAGGCGGCCUCGCGCGCCCGACGUGAAAGCCCCCCGGCUUAACCGGGGAGGGUCGUUGGGGACGGCGGGGCUUGAGGGCGGGAGAGGUCGGUGGAAUUCCCGGUGUAGUGGUGAAAUGCGUAGAGAUCGGGAGGAACACCUGUGGCGAAGGCGGCCGACUGGGCCGACCCUGACGCUGAGGCGCGAAAGCUAGGGGAGCAAACGGG
rnacentral:rRNA from 1 species